rnacentral:rRNA from 1 species
UACAGAGGUCUCAAGCGUUGUUCGGAUUCAUUGGGCGUAAAGGGCGCGUAGGCGGCACGGUAAGUCGGGAGUGAAAGCCCGGGGCUCAACCCCGGAACGUCUUUCGAAACUGCCGAGCUAGAGUGCGGAAGAGGCAACUGGAAUCCCAGUGUAGCGGUGAAAUGCGUAGAUAUUGGGAAGAACACCUGAGGCGAAGGCGGGUUGCUGGGC